rnacentral:rRNA from 1 species
UACGUAGGUGGCAAGCGUUGUCCGGAUUUAUUGGGCGUAAAGGGCGCGCAGGCGGUUCGUUUAGUCCGAGGUGAAAUCUCCCGGCUCAACUGGGAGGGGUCUUUGGAUACUGGCGGACUUGAGGUGAGCAGAGGUGAGCGGAAUUCUGGGUGUAGUGGUGAAAUGCGUAGAUAUCGGGAGGAACACCAGUGGCGAAGGCGACUACCUGCCUGUUCUUGACGCUGAGGCGCGAAGGCUAGGGGAGCGAACGGGGAG